rnacentral:lncRNA from 1 species
GGCCUUUAGAAGUAGUAAAAGUCUUACUGCUAAUGAUGGUUUAGAUCGAAAAUCUUCAGCUCCCAGAGAACAUAGUUCAAAGAUCCCAUCCAUUCCAUCUAGCGAAAACUAAUUUUCAGUGCAUAGUAGAAUGAGAGUUUGAUCGAGUCGGAUGGUGCGGUGGGCUCACGAUGAGAUGGAGCACAAAUGAGAUGCGGCGAGGCUGGUGCUGAGGAACCAAGAGUAGCAACUA